AUAGUGUUGUGAACAAAUAAGCUACAAACUCUCUAGCAGGAAAUAAGCUACAAGUAAUCGCUAACUGAGAGGUAUGACAUGAAAUGUUCCUGAUUCAACUUAAAUCAUGGCGCAUUUAGACUCCACAUUAGCAUGUUGUUGACAUGUAUGUUACAUGUAUACAAGGUUCAGAAUGUGUUUCGUUCCCACCACUAUGACGCUUUAUUAAAAAAACUUAAGAAAAGGUGGGUUCAGGAAUCCUUCAUCAAAUCUUGAAGAUGAUGUGUGGGAACGAAGAUGCAAUAUAAGGUGUCAUUUAGCUUGUGCAAGGCCGCGUGGAAUGUCAGCUGAGGAUUUGGACCAUUUUUUAAUUGUUAACUGGGUCAGGUCAAAACUUAUGCUAGACAUGAAGAAAUGUUAAGCGAACCCAAACAAGAUGAUAUCUCAAAUGAUCAUAGAAUGGAAUUGCUGAUAAUAUUAAGUCAAAGUGAUCAAAAUAGAAAACCUGAACAUUUCUUUCCUCCACUAGAAUCUCCUUCACCUUCUCACACAACACCCUUAC
rnacentral:lncRNA from 7 species